UACGUAGGUUGCGAGCGUUGUCCGGAAUCACUGGGCGUAAAGCGCACGCAGGCGGCUCCGAAAGCCCACGGUGAAAGCCCUCGGCCCAACCGAGGGAGGCCCGUGGGAACUCCGGGGCUUGAAGGCGGGAGAGGCAGAUGGAAUUUCCGGUGUAGCGGUAAAAUGCGUAGAUACCGGAAGGAACACCAGUGGCGAAAGCGAUCUGCUGGCCCGCUCUUGACGCUCAGGUGCGAAAGCUAGGGUAGCGACCGGG
rnacentral:rRNA from 1 species